rnacentral:lncRNA from 1 species
GGAGGGGAGGCGUGUGGGGAUGAGAAGGACAGUGGAAUGAGAUGGACAUUAUUACCCUAUAUACAUGCAGGAUUACGCUACCCAUGUGACUCUGCACUAUGUUCAGCCAGAGGAAGGAGAAGUUGUCAGAAUGCAUUCUACUGUCAUGUAUAACUAAUUAGAACAAAUUAAAAAAAAAAAAAAAUGAUGGGCUGGGGUUGUGGCUCAAACUUUGUGAGAUUGCUUGCCUGGCAUGUGUGAGGCCUUGGGUUCGAUCUUUAGCACCACAUAUAAAUAAAUAAAACAAAAGAGCCUUUGACAACUAAAAAAAAAAAAAAAAAACAUAAAAAGAGCUGGGGAUGUGGCUCAAUGGUUAAGCACCUCUGGGUUCAAUCCCUGAUACCAAGAGGUGGGGAAAACACUUCCAGGCUCUUAGUAAACCACUGGAGGAUUAGUACAAACAUACUUCAACAGUGAGCAAUAUGGAUCUCCCAUAAAUAUUUUUGAGCUAUUUGCCACAAACCCUUGCCCAGCCAUCCGCCAGUCUCCCUCAUAUACCUGUUCUCUUCCCCUUACUUCCUCCUCCUCAACCUGAUUUCCAUGUUCCCCUGAGUUUAAAAUCCUCUGCUGCAAGUACUAUUAAAUUCACCUCACAAUAGCUUGUACAAUAAGAAUACCAUAUUUCUUCCCAUUAGGUGCCACCAAUGUCAAUAAGCACUGCUGCUUUAUGUACCAUGAGAAAGAAAAAACACUGCUGGUUAAACUGAUAAUAGUUUUUAUCACUUAAAUUUUUUUAUUUUAUAUUUGCUGAAAAAGCUCUUAGACUUACAUGGAAAUUUUUAACAUAAAUUAUUCUUGUACAUAUGUAACAAAGAA